ACGAAUCGUGAUGUAAGAAGCUUGAUUUUGAUACAUAAAGUAGUGGAGAAUCACCAGGAAGUUGAAUAAAUCUCAUAGGAGUUAGGAUGAAGAAGCUAUCCCACUUUAAAAUCAGGCGAUCCCGGUUUUCCUGUUUGGGAAUAUGACAACUUCUUGGUCAUUCUAAUCAAACCAGGAUGAAUCGCGAAGUAAGAAGCUUGAUUGUGAUACAUAACGUAGUGGAGAAUCAUUAGGAAGUUGAAUAAAUCUCAUAGGAGUUCUGAUGAAGAAGCUAUCCCACAUUCAAAUCAGGCGAUCCCAGUUUUCCUGUUUGGGAAUAUGACAACUUCUUGGUCAUUCUAAUCAAACCAUGAUGAAUCGCGAUGUAAGAAGCUUGAUUGUGAUACAUAACGUAGUGGAGAAUCACUAGGAAAUUGAAUAAAUCUCAUAGGAGUUAGGAUGAAGAAGCUAUCCCACUUUCAAAUCAGGUGAUCCCAGUUUUCCUAUUUCGGAAUAUGACAACUUCUUUGUCAUUCUAAUCAAACCAAGAUGAAUCGCAAUGUAAGAAGCUUGAUUUUGAUACACAAAGUAGUGGAGAAUCACUAGGAAGUUGAAUAAAUCUCAUAGAAGUUAGGAUGAAGAAGCUAUCCCACUUUCAAAUAAGGUGAUCCCAGUUUUCAUGUUUGGGAAUAUGACAACUUCUUUGUCAUUCUAAUCAAACAAGGAUGAAUCGCAAUGUUAGAAGCUUGAUCUUGAUACAUAAAGUAGUGGAGAUUCACUAGGAAGUUGAAUAAAUCUCAUAGGAGUUAGGAUGAAGAAGCUAUUCCACUUUCAAAUCAGGUGAUCCCAGUUUUCUUGUUUGUGAAUAUGACAACUUCUUGGUCAUUCUAAUCAAACGAGGAUAAAUCGCAUUGUAAGAAGCUUGAUUUUGAUACAUAAAGUAGUGGUGAAUCACCAGGAAGUUGAAUAAAUCUCAUAGGAGUUAGGAUGAAGAAGCUAUCCCACUUUCAAAUCAGGUGAUCCCGGUUUUCCUGUUUGGGAAUAUGACAACUUCUUUGUCAUUCUAAUCAAACCAGGAAGAAUCGCGAUGUAAGAAGCUUGAUUUUGAUACAUAUAGUA
rnacentral:lncRNA from 1 species